UACCAGCACCCCGAGUGGUCGGGACGAUUAUUGGGCCUAAAGCAUCCGUAGCCGGUUUUACAAGUCCUCCGUUAAAUCCAGCUGCUUAACAGAUGGGCUGCGGAGGAUACUAUAAGACUAGGAGGCAGGAGAGGCAAGCGGUACUCAGUGGGUAGGGGUAAAAUCCUGUAAUCCUUCGGGGAGGACCAGUGGCGAAGGCGCUACACUAGAACGGCUCUGACAGUGAGGGACGAAGCCCUGGGGCGCAAACCGG
rnacentral:rRNA from 1 species